UUUACCUUCGAAAAGUGGUGGCGGCUGCAGUCUGGGCCGGGGCCCUGUGUGCCUGAAGACAUGGAGUUUGUGUCUGGAUACCGGGAUGAGUUCCUUGAUUUCGCUGCCCUUCUCUUCGGCUGGUUCCGAAAGUUUGUGGCAGAGCGUGGAGCUGUAGGGACUAGCCUUGAGGGCCGCUGGUGGCAGCUGGAGGCCCAGAUCAGAAGGCUGCCCCAGGACCCUGCGCUUUGGGUGCUCCAUGUCCUGCCCAACCGUAGUGUGGGCAUCAGCCUGGGGCAAGGGGCAGAGCCAGGUCCUGGACCAGGCCUGGGGUCUGCCCGGCUCCUGGGAGAUGACCCUCCACUCCACCUGCGAGACCUGAGCCCCUACGUCAGCUUUGUCAGCCUAGAGGACGGGGAGGAAGGGGAGGAGGAAGAGGAGGAAGAUGAAGAAGAAGAGAAGAGAAAGGAAGGGGGUGCAGGCACAGAGAAGGUGGAACCAGAGGAGGACCAGGAGCUAGCUCCUAGCAGCAGGGAGUCCCCCCAGGAAACAAACCCUCCAGGAGAGUCAGAGGAGGCUGACCGGGAGGCAGGAGGUGGCAAGGAUGGCUGCCGAGAGGACAGGGUGGAGAAUGAAACAAGACCCCAGAAGACCAAGGGACAGAGGAGUGAGGCUGCCCCCCUGCACCUUUCCUGUCUCUUACUCGUGACGGAUGAGCAUGGCACCAUCUUGGGCAUUGAUCUGCUAGUGGAUGGAGCCCAGGGAACUGCCAGCUGGGGCUCAGGGACUGAGAACCUGGCUCCUCGGGCCUAUGCUCUCCUCUGUCACAGCAUGGCCUGUCCCAUGGGCUCUGGGGACCCCCGAAAGCCCCAACAGCUUACUGUGGGAGAUGCCCGGCUGCAUCGAGAGCUGGAGAGCUUGGUCCCAAGGCUAGGUGUGAAGUUAGCCAAGACCCCAAUGCGGACAUGGGGUCCCCGGCCAGGCUUCACCUUUGCUUCCCUUCGUGCUCGAACCUGCCACGUGUGUCACAGGCACAGCUUUGAAGUGAAGUUGACACCCUGCCCCCAGUGUAGUGCUGUCUUGUAUUGUGGCGCGGCUUGUCUCCGGGCUGACUGGCGGCGGUGCCCAGAUGAUGUGAGCCACCGAUUUUGGUGCCCAAGGCUUGCAACCUUCAUGGAUCGGGCAGGAGAACUGGCAGCCCUGCCUUUUACCUACACCGCAGAGGUGACCAGUGAAACCUUCAACAAGGAGGCCUUCCUGGCCUCUCGGGGCCUCACUCGUGGCUACUGGACCCAGCUCAGUAUGCUGAUUCCAGGCCCCGGCUCCUCCAGGCACCCCCGAGGCCACAUGCCAUCCCUCAGCCUUCGCGGUGGAGACCCCUACCAGCUUCUCCAGGGGGACGGACCUGCCCUGAUGCCUCCUGUGCCCCCAGAUCCACCCCGGGCUCUUUUUGGCUCAUGGAAGGAUUAUUACACAUGGCGUGGCCUCAGCUUGGACUCCCCCACAGCUGUGCUUCUCACCUACCCGCUGACCGUGUACUACGUCAUCACCCACCUGGUGCCCCAGUCCUUCCCUGAGCUCAACAUCCAAAACAAACAAUCACUGAAGAUCCACGUGGUGGAGGCCGGGAAGGAGUUUGACCUUGUCAUGGUGUUUUGGGAGCUCUUGGUCCUGCUCCCCCAUGUGGCCCUGGAGCUGCAGUUUGUAGGUGAUGGCCUGCCCCCCGAAAGCGACCAGCAGCAUUUUACCCUGCAGAGGGACGGCCCCAAGGUGUCUGUCCGUCCUGGUUCUGGCAUAUCAGCACGGCCCAGCUCUGGCACUAAGGAGAAGGGAGCCCGCAGGGACCUGCAGAUCAAGGUGUCAGCAAGGCCCUACCACCUGCUCCAGGGGCCCAAGCCCGACCUGGUUAUUGCUUCUCCCUCCUCUCGUCUGCAGGAUUUAACUCCGGGUUUGGUCUCAAGGAUACGUGGCUGAGCUCUCUGCCACGGUUACAGUCCCUCCGAGUGCCAGCCUUCUUCACCGAGAGCAGCGAGUACGGCUGUGUGAUGGACGACCAGACCAUGGCGGUGGCCACUGGAGGGGGCACCAGCCCUCCCCAGCCCAACCCCUUCCGCUCCCCCUUUCGCCUCAGAGCGGCCGACAACUGCAUGCCCUGGUACUGCAAUGCCUUCAUCUUCCAUCUGGUUUACAAGCCUGCGCAAGGGAGCGGGACCCGCCCGGCGCCCGGCCCCCCACCCCCGUCCCCAACUCCCUCCGCUCCUCCUGCCCUUACCCGAAGGCGCCGAGGAGAAAAGAAACCUGGGCGGGGGGCCCGCCGGCGGAGAUGAAUGCUGAUACCAUAGUAGACCCCCUCCCAAACACUGAGAGGAAAACGUGAAAACACUCAAGGUCGAGGGGGAGGACAGGCUGGUAAAACACGAAAAGGUCAAUAAAAUUACUUGUUUGAAACCA